rnacentral:rRNA from 1 species
CCUACGGGUGGCAGCAGUGAGGAAUAUUGGUCAAUGGACGCAAGUCUGAACCAGCCAUGCAGCGUGCAGGAUGACUGCCCUAUGAGUUGUAAACUGCUUUUGUACAGGGGUAAACGCAGAUACGCGUAUCUGUCUGAAAGUAUCGUACGAAUAAGGAUCGGCUAACUCCGUGCCAGCAGCCGCGGUAAUACGGAGGAUUCAAGCGUUAUCCGGAUUUAUUGGGUUUAAAGGGUGCGUAGGCGGUUGGAUAAGUUAGUGGUGAAAUCCCGAGGCUCAACUUCGGAAUUGCCUUUGAUACUGGUCGGCUAGAGAGUAGUUGCGGUAGGCGGAAU